UCCGGUGAACGAUGCCGGCUGGGAGCUCUCGUCCUCUACAAAUGUAAAUUUCCUCUGCAAAAGGAAACAUCGGCGUGCUGGCAGUAAGGACUUCCCCAGGACGGCCAGUGCGGCUGCCCGCCUCUUCAAAUCCAUAGGGGGGGGCCUGCACUCCCCACCCCCACCCCCCGCGCAGAGACCCAAGAACUGAAUUCAGUCUACACUCUGGGUGUCAGACAGCUCCAGAGGCUCCGAGAAGAUGCCAUCGAACAUCUUACUCUGAAUGCAGACGAGCAGGAGAGACUCAGGACUCAGGCCUCUGGCCCCGGAGAGGUGCCGGGAGCGGGCCUGGCUUGAGGACCCGCAGUAUGCUAACAGCGUCAACUCCACGUGCCCGCAAACCCUAACCUCUACUAGGCUUCUAAUCUAAGCAGUGCCCACAGCCAACAACGUCAUCAAGAAUGGGUACCAAGCACAGGCUGUUCAACUUCCCCGGACAGAACCAGGGGAGAAGGAGCUCUCCCACGCCACCAGCCAAGGGGACAGAUGUGACCAGCUUCCUAAAUGUCUUUCCUAGGGGCGGAAGAGAAACUUCUGGGGCAAGGUGUGACAGGGCAAGAUCCUGAUAGGCGAGCAUGCGAACAGCUCCCUGUGACGACGUGUGACCUGGAGAGAUGGCCCUUAAUUUCUCAGGAGGGAUUUCUAAGACCAAAAGCCAAGCGGCUGCUGACCAGUGGCUGCCCCAGGACGUCUGCCUCUUUUACUGAAUCCUGCUGAAUGCAGCGCCUGACGAAGGGUGUGUCCAGGCUGAGGAGGGUGCAUUUGAUGGCAGUCAAGGGCAGCCCAGUUUCGUAUUUUAAAAGUGAAACAGAGAAGUCCACUUAUCUGAUGCACUUGGGAGAGUAGUUGACGAAGAAACACACAUUUGUGAAGGAUUCAUAGACAGAGACGAUGCCACUGUAACUGAAAAGAUGUAAUUUGUUGGCUGCUCUUUGAUCCCAGAGCCAAGUUCUGUUCUUCGGGCGAGAUCCCCUUAUGAGCAAACCCAGGAUGAAUUCAGCUGGGACCCAGUUAUAAUCUACAUUUCUCUACUUUUUCUCUUCUUUUUUUUUAAAGUUUUUUGUAACGUUUACUUAUUUUGAGAAAGAGAGAGAGAGGGAGAGAGACAGAGUG